UGGUCAAUGCAGACGGACAGUACCUCUUU
rnacentral:piRNA from 1 species